GACCCGACUGCUAUUUGGGUGAGAAUAAGCCAUGCGAGUUGAAUGGGAUACCUAAAUUUCCCAUAGCGAACUGCUCAGUAACACAUGAUCAACUUACCCUAUAGAGAAACAUAACCUCGGGAAACUGAGGAUAAUAUUUCAUAGUUGAAUAGGCUUGGAAAAGUUUUUCAAUAAAAGAGAUAAAAAAAAUGGUUUUUAUCUGCUAUAGGAUAGGAUCGUGGACGAUUAUGGUUGUUGGUGAGGUAACGGCUCACCAAGCCGAUAAUCGAUAGGGGCCGUGAGAGCGGGAGCCCCGAGAUGGGUACUGAGACAACGACCCAGGCCUUACGAGGCGCAGCAGGCGCGGAACCUCCGCAAUACACGAAAGUGUGACGGGGUUACCCAAAGUGUUCAAUUUUGAACUGUGGUAGGUGAGUAAUGUUCCCUACUAGAAAGGAGAGGGCAAGGCUGGUGCCAGCCGCCGCGGUAAAACCAGCUCUUCAAGUGGUCGGGAUAAUUAUUGGGCUUAAAGUGUCCGUAGCCGGUUUAGUAAGUUCCUGGUAAAAUCGGGUAGCUUAACUAUCUGUAUGCUAGGAAUACUGCUAUACUAGAGGGCGGGAGAGGUCUGAGGUACUACAGGGGUAGGGGUGAAAUCUUAUAAUCCUUGUAGGACCACCAGUGGCGAANGCGUCAGACUGGAACGCGCCUGACGGUGAGGGACGAAAGCCAGGGGAGCGAACCGGAUUAGAUACCCGGGUAGUCCUGGCCGUAAACGAUGCAUACUNNGUGAUGGUGUGGCCAUGAGCCGUAUCAGUGCCGUNNGGAAACCGUUAAGUGUGCCGCCUGGGAAGUANGGUCGCAAGGCUAAA
rnacentral:rRNA from 1 species